rnacentral:rRNA from 1 species
UACGUAGGGUGCAAGCGUUGUCCGGAAUUAUUGGGCGUAAAGAGCUCGUAGGCGGUUUGUCGCGUCUGCUGUGAAAACUCGGGGCUUAACCCCGGGCCUGCAGUGGGUACGGGCAGACUAGAGUGCGGUAGGGGAGACUGGAAUUCCUGGUGUAGCGGUGAAAUGCGCAGAUAUCAGGAGGGACACCGGUGGCGAAGGCGGGUCUCUGGGCCGUAACUGACGCUGAGGCGCGAAAGCUAGGGGAGCAAACAGG